ACGCUCGACACCUACGGAGCAGCAGUGGGGAAUAUUGCACAAUGGGGGAAACCCUGAUGCAGCGACGCCGCGUGAAGGAAGAAGUAUUUCGGUAUGUAAACUUCUAUCAGCAGGGAAGAAACUGGCGGUACCUGACUAAGAAGCACCGGCUAAAUACGUGCCAGCAGCCGCGGUAAUCUGAGCGGGCUGGCAAGGC
rnacentral:rRNA from 1 species